UCUUUGUGUAAAGAAACCCUUUCAAUUGGAUCAUCUGUUCAAACAACCCUUCUUCCCAGUUACAGCCAGCAGAAGAGACUCUUGUGAUUCCUCCCAGACCAACUGAGAUUGUGAGCAGAGAGUUGGUGCAUUCCCCAGGGGGAGACUGAGACCAUGAUGAGAAGCCUGCUGCUUCUAAUGGCUUUUGCGGUGCUUGCUGCAGCCACCAUGGCUAGGCCCACCAGGCAGGAGUUGCUGGCUGUGGAAGAUCUGGGCGCAGUAGGACCACAUGCCAGAACAAUAACCCAGGAGAAUGGAUUCCAGACACAGCUGAAGGGAGGAAGAGUGCGGAGGUCUGGGAAGGGGAAAAAGAAGGGAAGGUGGAACGCAGGCUCUCUCGCUACUCUCGGAGCAGCCGUACCCAAAGGCUGGAGAGGACGAGGCAGCAUCUCGGCCAAGGAGUAGGUGGCCAUCCUGCUAGCCACGUUCGCUUGGUCUUGAAAGCUCUUGCGGGUGAUGGGAGGGAGUCAGGGAAGAGCCCCUCCUACUCCAGCUGCCCCAGGCGUUAGUGGAAGGCAUGCUUUAUGAUGGCUACGUGAGGAUGAGGUUGUCUGUUCCUCCUAGAUGCUGCUGGGCUCAGGCCAUGACUAGCCUCAGUGCUGCCUGGGACAUGGAAAAAUAGUCAUCUUUUUUCUGUAACGGAAUAAAACCAGCCUGUGAAAUCUA